AUCCGGGUUGCGGACAGUGUCUGGUGGGUAGUUUGACUGGGGCGGUCUCCUCCUAAAGAGUAACGGAGGAGCACGAAGGUUGGCUAAUCCUGGUCGGACAUCAGGAGGUUAGUGCAAUGGCAUAAGCCAGCUUGACUGCGAGCGUGACGGCGCGAGCAGGUGCGAAAGCAGGUCAUAGUGAUCCGGUGGUUCUGAAUGGAAGGGCCAUCGCUCAACGGAUAAAAGGUACUCCGGGGAUAACAGGCUGAUACCGCCCAAGAGUUCAUAUCGACGGCGGUGUUUGGCACCUCGAUGUCGGCUCAUCACAUCCUGGGGCUGAAGUAGGUCCCAAGGGUAUGGCUGUUCGCCAUUUAAAGUGGUACGCGAGCUGGGUUUAGAACGUCGUGAGACAGUUCGGUCCCUAUCUGCCGUGGGCGCUGGAGAACUGAGGGGGGCUGCUCCUAGUACGAGAGGACCGGAGUGGACGCAUCACUGGUGUUCGGGUUGUCAUGCCAAUGGCACUGCCCGGUAGCUAAAUGCGGAAGAGAUAAGUGCUGAAAGCAUCUAAGCACGAAACUUGCCCCGAGAUGAGUUCUCCCUGAGACUUAGAGUCUCCUGAAGGAACGUUGAAGACGACGACGUUGAUAGGCCGGGUGUGUAAGCGCAGCGAUGCGUUGAGCUAACCGGUACUAAUGAACCGUGAGGCUUAACCUU
rnacentral:rRNA from 17 species